UCGGAUUGCAGUCUGCAACUCGAGUGCAUGAAGCUGGAAUCGCUAGUAAUCGCGGAUCAGAAUGCCGCGGUGAAUACGUUCCCGGGUCUUGUACACACCGCCCGUCACACCAUGGGAGUCGGGAAUGCCCGAAGCCGGUGGCCCGAUCGAGAGAAGGGAGCCGUCGAAGGCAGGCCGGAUGACUGGGGUGAAGUCGUAACAAGGUACC
rnacentral:rRNA from 1 species